CUCCAAACACGCCCCCGCACUCAUCAAGUGGCCCACGCCCAUUCUCCGUCCCAGCCGGCGACAGUCCACACCUGACACACCUGAUGUUGAUGAGGGAGGGCAGUAUAAAGAUUGCCGACGCUGAAUCCUCGAUGUCGGAACGUAUACUACUCCUAAACUUGCUCGUUGCCUAUUUCCUUGUGCCCUUGUGUUUUCCCUGAUCCCUGCUUCUCCUGCUCUUCCCACAGUGUCGUGUCACCACCGCUGCUUCCUUCCUGGAUCCCCGACCUCGUUUUUGGACUUUGAACUCGCUCUCCUGCCUUUGCCCCCUCGCUUGAACUUUGGACUUCAUCUGGCUUGCUCCCUUUCGGAUUUGGACGCCAUUUCAUCCAACACGCACCUCAACAACCCUCACGAAGCUAGUUCAGGGAGGAGGUGAAACAUCUUGUUGACUGGUGCAGAACCAACAUCCUGGUCCUGAACGUCGACAAGACCAAGGAGAUCAUCGUUGACUUCAGGAAGCACCAGUCCAGUCACACUCCACUCUUCACCAACGACACAGCAGUGGAGAUGGGGGUCCGGUCCGGUGGCCAUGGAUGAAGUAGUGGCUGUCCAGAAUCGGGACCCAAGAUGGACCGCUCGUCCAGAGUCGGGACCCAGGAUGGACCGCUCACCUGUGUAUCGGCUGAGGACAUCUCUGGGCUGCUGAUCCGCCUCCGCUUGGGAUGGUAUCCUGUUGGCUCCACUGUGGACGGGACUCUCGCUACUGUGUUGGAUCCACUUUGGACUGGACUCUCACGGUUGUGUUGGAUCCACUAUGGAUUGAACUUUCAUAGUAUUUUCUAUGAACUUUCAUAGAACUUUCACAGUAUCAUGUUAGACCCGCUCGACAUCCAUUGCUUUCG